CACGUAGGGCGCAAGCGUUGUCCGGAAUUAUGGGCGUAAGAGCUCGUAGGCGGUCUGUUGCGUCCGCUGUGAAAACUCGGGGCUUAACCCCGAGCCUGCAGUGGAUACGGGCAGACUAGAGGGUAGGUAGGGGAGAAGUGGAAUUCCCGGGUGUGAGCGGUGAAAUGCGCAGAUAUCGGGAGAACACCGGUGGACGAAGGCGGU
rnacentral:rRNA from 1 species